AUCUUUCCGAAGGGGAGCCCUUUAGGGGGCUGAGAGGCCGGUCCAUGUGCCGGCGACCCUUGGAACCUGAUCCGGGUCAUUCCGGCGAAGGGAUCGGACCUUAUCCAAGC
rnacentral:ncRNA from 2 species